CCGUGCCUUUUUCUUUACAACAUCAUGUAUUGGUCUUAAAAUUACUCCCAAAUGUGGCACAAAGCUCUCCAAAAACCCAUUAGUCCCACAGUCGUUAUAUGCAUGCGGCAACUGUCAAAAUGUUAAUCAAAUCUGAUGGAUGACCGGAAGUCCCGCCCCUUUCCUCUGACGUCAUUAAUGUGACCUUUCUUUGAACUCGCCCACACACCCCUUCCUGUUUUUUCCUCAGGAAACGGCAAAGAUCCGAUUGCAGGAUGUCUGUCCCUUCUUUGAAGCCGCCCCCACCCACCUGUUUGCCCCAGGAAACUGUCAAGAGCAGACUUGAUGGAUGGGUGCUCCCUCUUUGACCACCGGCCAACCCUCUUCCGAAGACAAGUUGAGGCACAUCCGGGCAAGUUUCUAUCCAGACCCUGCCGGACCAAGCUACAUGUCCCCAGGCAUGAAGGCCCUGCCUAGGACCCCUCCGGUCAGGCAGCCCCUGAGGGCGGGGGACACCACAUGUUGGUUGAAUCCUUCACUUCCAGGCACACUUCUUCCAAGGACAUACACACAUGCUCCUGCCUAUAUCGCUUUGGUUGACGCCUGAGAGCAGACAGCCUCUGUGCUGAAAAAAGCUGCCAGGCACGCGGCUGCGAGAUGCCCCAGCGGCUGAAGCUCUAAGCCUACUCGCCGGCAAGGGUUUGUAUUUCGAAAUAAACGCUGACCGGAUAUUUCUGUCUACACAGAGAAUCUCAGAGGAGCAGACAAACACCUCUCUCCCUCGCCCUGCACGGGUCUAUAGCAGGAAGUUGCAUACUGUAUGAACCGGAGCUCCGCUGACAGAUAGUGUCAGACACAGGCCAGGAAACGGCCUGACCCCUUUAACCUGCUGUGUUCUGCGGGCGCAUGCUUGUCAACCCCCCGCCCCCCAGUACGAGAGUGCGCAGAUCCUGUGUCCGGGAGAACAAGUUAUGUGUGUAACUUUUAAAGUCAAGGGAAUUAAAAAUCACCCACUCAGUUAAAUAAGAGGCAACAGGGACCUUUUAAAGAACGUUUGAGACGUCUUAAAAUCUAGCCUCGGAUGUAUAUUUUGUAUAUCUUAAAAAAGCCCUCUUCCAUCCAUUAUGUCGGAUCAUCCGGUGGACAAUGUGAAAGCGCCCUUACGGAGAGGCAUGCAGCGAUUUAAAGAAAUCAACUGCGUGCAAAGGUGACUUUAAAAAAAAA